GGGCCUGUAGCUCAGUUGGUUAGAGCCGUCGACUCAUAAUCGAUUGGUCGUAGGUUCGAGUCCUACCAGGCCCACCA
rnacentral:tRNA from 1 species